GUUCAUGUACUUCCUUAUUUUUAUCGUUCCUCUCUAAACUCUGCUAUAAGGCUCGAUAUCUGUUAAAUUCAAUCCAUCAUCAAGGAAGCAGAUUUGAACAUUGAAGUCGGUGAAGAGCACUGCAGUCUCCUUUGGGGAGACUAUGAUGGAGGACUUCAGGCAGGAUGGACAGUGAGCUGAGAGAGUGACUGUUUGAAGAUCAUAGUAAAGAAUCCCACUAGCUGGUCUGCAAAGUCCUUCAGUGCAUAUCCGCAGACGGCAUCAGGGCCGGCCACCUUCCGCGAGUUGACUGUCUCUGGGUACGCCUCACCUCAUGCUCCUCUACCAUGUGGAUGGUGUCGCUGUGGGCUGCUGAAUGUGGUGUGGCUGCCUCUGGUGGUUUAACCUCAAAGCAGCCCUCAAUACCGCUCCUCCACCACAGGAUGGCGACGGCAUCAAACAGAAGAAAAACACAACCCACUUGACGACUUCUCUGCCUCGGAGACACAAAGCCUGUGACAUCAUCUGCGGAGGGACAGAGGGUGUGCGAAGGACAAAUGUCCUGAAAUGCAUUACAUCAUUCUGCACUAAUAUGAUAAUAUAUCUCAGGCUGUGAGUGCGGUGCCAAGCAUGAGAGGGGCCAUAAUCCAUACGACUGCUUCAAAUGUGAACAAGGGGAUAAAAUGAAAGUGGACGUGGUAGUGGAGAAGUAGGGGGGGGGGGGUCUGCUGGAGUCGGGAGUGCAGUGCUGAAGGUUAUUCCAGACAUUAUUCUUCAAUGAGAGCAGGAGGAGAGAGGAGAGGAUCAUCACUAUUACACACUAAGUAAAGAUGAGGAAGGGAGGCUAAAACGCUUCCUUGUCUGUCUUCUGUCCUUGUCCUUCUUUUUCCUGUCAUAUCUGUUCUUUCUUUCUUGCUUUCGCUUUUUCUCAACCCUCAUUUUUCCUGUCAUUCAGAGGAGAGGAGGACCGAGGAGAGAAAGGAGACAAAGAUGUGUAAGAAAAAGGUUGCAGAGUCGAAAGAAGGACUGACAAGUCGCAAAAGGGAGGAUUUGAAAAGGAUGUAAGAGGUGAGAGAGUGAGGGAGGAGAAGAAUUGAGAGAGGAGAGGUGAGGAAAUGAGAGGAAACAGAAGAAUGAAAAGAGAGAGAUUGGGAGAAAAAGGUAGACAAUGGGAGAAAAGGGGAGAGGAGGAGAAAGUUGGAGAGAAUUGAAGAGCUACCGCAAAAUCUAAAAAGAGGAGAGGUGAGAGGAUGAAUAAGGAGAAAAAAAGCAGAAAGGAAGAGCGAGGGAAGAUGCAAAGGAGAGGAGGAAAAAGUUGCUGUGAUGUGAGAAGAAGUGACAACAUGAGGUUAGGGAAGAGAGGAGAGGAGAAGGGAAAAGAUGAGGCAGGAGAGGUCGGACUUUGUAGAGACAAAACAGUUAGAAGAUGUGAAAGGAGGACUGAGAAGAGGAAAUAGGAGAGGAGAUCAGAGGAAGGACAGAGAGAUGAGAGGAGGAGGUAAGGAGGUGAACAGAGAAAAUGUGAAAUGAGGAGUAAGGAGUGGAGAGACGAGGGUAGGGGACAUGAAAGAAGGACUGAGGACACAGCUUAAAGAGAAAUCAUUGAAAUGGGAAGAAAACAAAGAAGAAAAGGGGAGGUGAGGAUAGAAGAAGAGAGAGAGGUGAAAGUAGGGUUUUUGGGGUUUUCAAAGUCCCUUUAUUUGAUCAUUUUCAGAGAAGAAUUACAAUAACAAAAAAACAAAAAGGACUCAGAACAUGUAGAAGAAAAACGCGGGAGAGGUGGAGAAGGUAAUGUAAAAAGGAAUGAGAAGAUGAGGCAAAAGAAGAGGACUACAACACUACAUGGACGGAGGGAAAAGAGAGGAAAAAAGAGGAGAGAGAGGAUGAUUGACAAUAUGAUGCAAGGAAAGAUGAAAGAUCAGACAGUACGAGAAGUGAAAGGACAGUAGGAGAGGAGAAAUGAGAAAAAAGGAUGACAGAAGAGGGUAAGAGAGGUGAAAAGAAGGGAAAGGAGAAGGUUGGAGAUGUUAGGGAAAAACUGGGAAGAUGAUGCAUGGCUGAAGAAACCAAAUGAAAAAAGAGAGGAGGAGACGAGAUGUGAUGUGAUAGGAGGACUGAAGAGAAGAAGUAGAAGGAGAGGAGAGGAGGACACAGGGCAAAGCAAAACAAAGAGACAAGGCGAAGGAGUGAAAGAGAAGAAGAAAGGAGAGACAAAAUGGAGAAAGAAGAAAGGAAAAGGUUACAAAGAUGAGAUGAGGACUAACAGGAUGAUUUAAGGAGAGAGAGCAAAGACAAGACUGAAGGAGAGGAGAGGAGAGGAGAGGAGUUGCUCUGCAUGUUUUUCAUGUGCACAAUGUCUUCUUUUGCCAUUUCCAGCCACAGCUGUUAGUAAAGUUUAAUGCUUUUCUGAUGCUUUCGACUGGUUCUCUUACUGCAGGGGGGCCACCAAAUUAUUGAUAAUUUUUUUGAAAGUUGUUUUCAAAAAAUGAAAAUGUCUUAACAUGAAUCCAACAGAUAUAAAUCAGUCUAUUUGUGGAGAAAAAAACCCAUUGAUGAUAGGCUUACAGACCUGUAGGUAAGGUAGUCUCUAAAGCCAGCCACAUACAGUUCAUAAGGAUUCACUGUGCCACAUGUUUUUUAACAUUAAAACAUGAUUUAUAAAAUCAUGCCAACAAUUAUUUUAUCAGCUUAGUAUUCU